rnacentral:rRNA from 1 species
UACGUAGGGUGCAAGCGUUGUCCGGAAUUAUUGGGCGUAAAGAGCUCGUAGGCGGUUUGUUGCGUCGGCUGUGAAAUCCCGAGGCUCAACCUCGGGUCUGCAGUCGAUACGAGCAAACUAGAGUGUUGCAGGGGAGACUGGAAUUCCUGGUGUAGUGGUGAAAUGCGCAGAUAUCAGGAGGAACACCGGUGGCGAAGGCGGGUCUCUGGGCAAUAACUGACGCUGAGGAGCGAAAGCGUGGGGAGCGAACAGG